rnacentral:miRNA from 1 species
GUGUGUGUGCGUGUGUGUGUGUGUGUUCCAAGGGUAGACCUUGAAGAUAUAUGUGUGUGUAUAUGAAGAUAUGUAUAUAUCUUCAAGGUCUAUCCUUGGAACACACACACACACGCAC